rnacentral:rRNA from 1 species
AGAGUUUGAUCCUGGCUCAGGAUGAACGCUAGCGGCAGGCUUAACACAUGCAAGUCGAGGGGUAACAGCGGUAGCAAUAUCGGCUGACGACCGGCGCACGGGUGCGUAACACGUAUGCAACCUACCUUUUACAGGAGGAUAGCCCCGAGAAAUCGGGAUUAAUACUCCAUUGUUUUAUUACCAGGCAUCUGGUAAUUCAUAAAGAUUUAUCGGUAAAAGAUGGGCAUGCGCAACAUUAGCUAGUUGGUAAGGUAACGGCUUACCAAGGCAACGAUGUUUAGGGGAUCUGAGAGGAUUAUCCCCCACACUGGUACUGAGACACGGACCAGACUCCUACGGGAGGCAGCAGUGAGGAAUAUUGGGCAAUGGACGCAAGUCUGACCCAGCCAUGCCGCGUGCAGGAUGACGGCCCUAUGGGUUGUAAACUGCUUUUAUACAGGAAGAAACCUAUCAACUUGUUGAUAAUUGCCGGUACUGGAUGAAUAAGCAUCGGCUAACUCCGUGCCAGCAGCCGCGGUAAUACGGAGGAUGCAAGCGUUAUCCGGAUUCACUGGGUUUAAAGGGUGCGUAGGCGGAAUAAUAAGUCAGUGGUGAAAUACUUGGGCUCAACCGAAGUACUGCCAUUGAAACUGUUGUUCUUGAGUGCAAAUGAGGUGGGCGGAAUGUGCCAUGUAGCGGUGAAAUGCUUAGAUAUGUCACAGAAGACCGAUUGCGAAGGCAGCUCACUAAGAUGUAACUGACGCUGAUGCACGAAAGCGUGGGUAGCGAACAGGAUUAGAUACCCUGGUAGUCCACGCUGUAAACGAUGAUCACUCGAUGUAUGCGAUACACAGUAUGCGUCUAAGCGAAAGCGAUAAGUGAUCCACCUGGGGAGUACGAUCGCAAGGUUGAAACUCAAAGGAAUUGACGGGGGCCCGCACAAGCGGAGGAGCAUGUGGUUUAAUUCGAUGAUACGCGAGGAACCUUACCUGGGCUUAAAUUUAUGGUGCGAUAUUGUGAAAGCAAUAGUUCCUACGGGACGCCAUAAAAGGUGCUGCAUGGUUGUCGUCAGCUCGUGCCGUGAGGUGUCGGCUUAAGUGCCAUAACGAGCGCAACCCCUAUCAUUAGUUGCCAUCAUUUAAGUUGGGGACUCUAAUGAAACUGCCUACGCAAGUAGAGAGGAAGGUGGGGAUGACGUCAAAUCAGCACGGCCCUUAUGUCCAGGGCUACACACGUGCUACAAUGGUCAAUACAGAGGGCUGCUACCGGGUGACCGGAUGCAAAUCUCGAAAGUUGGUCUCAGUUCGGAUCGAAGUCUGCAACUCGACUUCGUGAAGUUGGAUUCGCUAGUAAUCGCGUAUCAGCAAUGACGCGGUGAAUACGUUCCCGGGCCUUGUACACACCGCCCGUCAAGCCAUGGGAGUUUGGGGUACCUGAAGUCCGUAACCGUAAGGAGCGGCCUAGGGUAAAACAGAUGACUGGGGCUAAGUCGUAACAAGGUA